UGGGUAAUCUACCUCUGGGUGGGGAAUAACCCUGGGAAACCGGGGCUAAUACCGCAUAACACUGAAAGGUCAAAGGCGCAAGUCGCCUGGAGAGGAGCCCGCGGCUGAUUAGCUAGUUGGUGGGGUAAAGGCUCACUAAGGCUAUGAUCGGUAGCCGGCCUGAGAGGGCACACGGCCACACUGGCACUGAAACACGGGCCAGACUCCUACGGGAGGCAG
rnacentral:rRNA from 1 species